AGCCUGCAGUGGUCACGUGGUACAAGUCGUAGCUCUCAGAAAACUCCCAGUUCAUGAGUUGUCAUUAGGAGUUCUACGAGGACGUGAACGCUUUUUAGAAGUUGGAAUCUCGUAAUUACGGGAAUUCCGAUAUGGCGUGAACGCAGCAUUAGUUAAUCACUUGAUGGGUGUUUAUAUUCGCUUAACCAAAAUCAAAACAAGCAAACUACACAGUGCAACAGACGAGUGGGAAAUCAAAGACUGGAAUGCUGGGAGAACGCUGGGGAAACUGACAAAGGGGUGAGCUCUGGAAAGGAGGACGGAUACUUCCUGUUCCUGCUGGAGUGACCUGCAGGUCUGAGGAGGAGUGAGGGAGAGGAAGGCAGAGAAAGCGAUACCCUGUGAAACCUGCUGGUGUAAACUUACCUCUGAUUGGGACUCACUGAUGUAAUGGACAAACAAGCACAAAAUGUGUCGAUACCCACAUCAAAUCUCCCAGGUUUCUUUUACAGUGAUUUGCGUACAGCUUCACCCUUGGCCAGAGUGCAGUUGUGAAACUGGAAGUGACAGUGCCAGCAUCAGCACUCAGUCUCUUCACCGUCACGCCAGCAUUCCGGAUUUGUAUUCCUGGAUGCACAAACAGUGUGUAAUUAUCCCAGCCUCCCUGCUGUUCUUUCUCUCUGUCUCUCUCUCUCUCCCUCAUUCGAUCUCUGCAUAUCCCACACCGGAGAGACCGAGACCCAAGAUUAUUCUCUCUCUCUCGCUGUCGCUGUCACACAAGAGGAAAAGAGCUCCUCUCUUCAUUACAGAAGGACCUGAUCCAACUUGAAAGAUGCAGCCAUUAUUCUUGACUGUCUGGACUCCCCCCCCCUCUCUCUUCCCUGUCACAGGCUUAUUG
ensembl:lncRNA